rnacentral:lncRNA from 1 species
UGCUUCAGAAUCAACCCUGGUUCUCUGCCCACCAUCUACUUCCAACCUCCUCUCCGGUGGCUUUGAGUCCCUUCUGUUAUUGUUUGCCUGCUCUCUUUGGGAUGAUGACUCGAUUACAUUUACCUUUAGGUGUAAUGAUUAUCUCUUGACUCUGCACUUGUGCUGAGGGCAGUACCCUGACCCCAUCACCACCUGGCCAGAUCUGCCGAGAAUCACUCCCUGAUUCCCCAAAAGAUAGAGCAGCCAAAAAGGGUCCCUCACUGCCAAGCCCCAGAGCCAAGGAUGCUUUUCUUCCUCAUGAGAUCACCCUCUCUCAGGACCUUGGAACCUGUUCUCAAAUUACUUCCCCUCUCUUCCCAGUCUUGCUGUGGAUGUCAGAUACCCUAUAAACAAGACACUAUUACUCAUUUUACUUGUCAUCAGUUCUUACUUUCUUUCUAUAAUCACUUAAUUAGAUGUAAUGCAAAGAGCAUUGUUCUUUGGAGUCAAUAAUACCUGAGUGAAGAUUCUAGAUUUUUUUUAAUGUGUUUUAUGACAUAUAUUCUUGAAAGAAUUUUUUGUCUUGCCUGAGUAGUGAUUUCCUCAUCUGUUAAAUGGAAAAAAUGGUAUUUUUAGACUAGCAGGCAGAUCGUUUUCCCUGAAUGACCAUAUCCUUUACUGAAAAAAAGAAUUGAGUUUAUGGGUUGUUUGGUACCACAAAGGUCCAGUCUUAAUCCCCAACUGUUUAUGUAUCUCUUCAAACUAAAGUAACAAUCCUAGAAUCUCAGAGCUAGAAAGAGCUUAAACAAUAUUGCAACUCAGAACUAAUUCAGUAUAUGAAUUCUAGCUGCAACAUCUCUAUCAGCUUUCCAUCAGCCACCAUGCAAACAUUCCCAUCAUCAGGAAACUCACUGCUUAACAAUUUGAAAAGAUAUAUUUUUUUUAUAUUGAGUCACAAUCUGCCCCCCUGAUUGUAGAAAUUUUAUUUUUAUUUAUAUUGUUUUUAUUAGUUUAUUUUAAAAACUUGUUUGUGCAUAUUUUUUUCACUUCUUUUUACUUAUUAUGUGUACACUAUGCAAACCUGGCUGGGAGGUGCAGUUGCCCCCCAGAAAUUACUCUUGAUUGCCUGUUCAGUUUGCUAUUUUUAUUUUUUCUCUUUAAUAAAUAUGCGAACCAUUCUCAGGGGAGUGGGAAAAAAAUCACCAAAAACUGUUUUAAACAUUCAAUGUGCAGAGCCAUCUGCUAUACCCAGAAGAGACUGGAUUGAUGGACAGGACAUAGGAAAUUACUCUUUCAUAAAUGAAUCCCAAAAGAUUAGACCUCCAAUGAGCAAACCACUUUUUCUGCUGAUUCCGGAAGGGACCUGGCAAGUUUGUUUUGCCACAACUAUGAGAGCUGAGGGAUUUGUUAGGUAGUCAUCGAGCUUGUCAAUCAAAAUCUAAUACAAAUGGAUGACCUUAUAGAGACGCAAAAGGAAAGAGAAUAACAUUAAUAGAGUCUUAUGACUCUAGAAUACUACAUUAAGUAGCACCUAUUGGGGUUAAAAAACACAUAAGCUUUCAGAACAAAUCUUGGUCUCUGUUCUUGAAUAAUCUCUGGCAGAGAGCUAGUCUCACAUAUGCAGGCAGAUUCAUUGAUGAAUAAUUCUGACUAUAGUAAAGUUUAUCUUAUGUUGAAAUGUCAUGUGGAUCUCUCUACUUCUUAGAUCUUUCUUUAUAUUGUCAUUUACACAAUAUACUGUGCAUUACAUACAAUAUAUAUGCAUAGUAAUACACAUACAUUAUAUGUAUUCAAACACAUGAUGCAUAAUUUAUUCAUGCAUGAAUUAUGUGUUUUUCUUUGAACAAAGUAUUUGUCAAGUUCCUAUUCUGUCCAAAUCCACCUUAUAAGCUAUAAGGAUGCAAUAAUAAACAAUAUAGUACUAGUUUAUGUUGAGAUAGGACUUAGAAGCUAUAGGAUGAAAUCAACAGUGAUUGGAAAAUCGCAUAAUAGGCAUGAAGUUUCAAACUGUAGUUAAGUGCUAUUAAGUACCACCACAGGGGUUUUAUGCGAUCAUGUAACAGAGCAAACUGAUCAGUUCUGGUGUGGGUAGUAGUCAGAGUUGGUGGUGGUGGACAAGACACUUCUUGAAGAAAUGAUAUUUAAAUUGAGAUGUGAAGAGUGAGUUGUUGUUAAUGAAGUAAGAGUUGAAAGUGGGAAUAAUGAAGAGCUCUUCUGGACCGGGAAUGUUCUGUGGGAAGAGUUUGAACUGGUCAAGGUGAGAGAGGUUAGGACUAGGAUAAUCACCCUGCCCCAUGACAGUGCACUGCUGUCUCCCUUCAGUCUUCUUGGUUUAUACAUCUUUGGCAUAUGUCACCUAUUUCUCACAUUACAUGAACUCUCAUCCCUCUUUCUGUUCCCCUUGGGCCAUGCUCCAGCUUGCCUUUAUCUUCUUUCCAUGUGUUCAUAACAACAUAGCAGCACAGAAGGCAUGUAGCUAUAUCAGGAGAAAAACCUCAGUCCCAACCAAACUUAGGAUAGAGGAAGUUACAGCUGUAACCCCAGAAACCCUGUUGGGCUGGUGAGACAGGUGCUAUUACCCAAGCUUCUCUACUCCCCACCCCCAUAUCAAUAAUAUUUUAAAAGGUGAAAAAGGAAUGAAGUUGAUGAACUUGGAAUCAGUCUUCAAAAUGACUUUGGCUGACAUAAACAGCAUUUUGAUGUAGAACAAAAAAGCUCUUUUAUCUAUUUACACAAGCUCCACAUUAUAACAAUAUCUUUUUUUGGUAUUUCAUCUCUUUUUUUCUCAACCUGAAGUUCCUUAGGGCCUAUUUCUCUUCAUGAAUUGUUUUCUCCCCAGACUAGAAAAUGUCGCCAUUGGCUUCGGGUUCUCCCAUUUGGACGAAGUGCUGAGUGGCUCCCAAAGAGCCCCAGAGGCUUCAGCCUAAGGGAUAAAAGGCGAUAUAUGAAGGGGAGAGAGCUGAUCCUGUAAAUAAAUUUGACUGGCAUUAAGUAUUUAACGUGGUGGUUGGCUCCAUGAGGACAGUGCAUUAAAUGCAUAAUGGCAUGGUAUCCGUUCAAGCUUUACGCUAAGUCUGACAAGCCGCAGUCAGGCUGCAUGGCAUUAAAUUGUAAGUGACAAGUUCUGAUAGACCUGUCAGCUUGAGAUGGUAUACUCUGAAGCAAACAGAAAAGGCUGCAGAUUCUUUUAUUAAUAAAGUAAUGUGAAGUAACAAAGUAAUACUUAUAGAAGAGGGGGUACGCACUAUGAUACAGUCAAAGGCAUAGGUUUUUGAAAUCAAACAGACCUGGAUUUGAAUUAGUGGCCCUGUGGUUUAUUACUGUGUAUUCCUAGAGCAAUUUCCUUCACCUUUGAGAGCCUUAGGUGACUAAAGAAAAAAUGGCAAUCAUGUAUAUUUCAGGCUUGCCUUAAGGUUCCCUAGGGGAAAGAACUGAGAUAGAGAUUUAUAUUCAGGUCAUGUAAUGAGGAGUAUAUUUGGAAAAAGUAGCUACAGUGGAAUAGGAGAAGUAGAAUUGGGCUAAGAGAGAGGUUAGAUACUCUUCUCUUCCUUUAACCAUUUGCAGUGAUAGUCAUUAAUAUGGAUUUAUAAUUCAGUAUUUUCCAUCUGAAAGGCAAUUAUUAAACACUGCUAUAGAAGCCUAAUAGAACUGUCCUGAAAACAGAAUCUCACAUGGGACUUUGAGUGCAAGUGGCUUAUUGGGGAGUGGUCUUAAGCAUACCACCUGUAUAGGAGUAAGGGAAGCAGGAUUUGUCAGAGCACGUGGUUGGUCUGCAGUGAAGUUGCACAGAGGCCUCAGCUGAUCCCAUGGAAUGCUCUCACACAGAGAUGGCACUUCAGUGGCGUCUCACACUGGAGCAAAGGAUCUGAAUCUUUGUCCAACAACAUCAACAGGUCACUGGAUGUGGACUACCUCUGAAGGUGUAACACUGGGUAAGGCGGCUCCUUAGGGCUAAGUUUAAUUCUUAGGGAGAGACUCAGCUAUGAGUUAUAGGCAGACAAUGUGCUUGGCAUGUUGAAUGCCUUGGUUCUGAAAAGUUUACUUCUUGCACCAUUUGCAUCCUCUUGCUUCCUAUAAUAAGCUCAUACCACCUAGAAACAGCUUUUCCUAGAUUGAAUUUGGUCUCCUCCUGGGGUACCCAAAGUCCUUACUAGAGCAAAGUUGAUAUUGGUAGAUAUUCUUCAGCCUACAGCUGAUAUUCAUCAUUUUACCCAUUACUAUCAUUCUAGAAUUCCCUACUCCUGUUCCCUACUCUGCUGGUGAUAUUGCCCAGACCUUCGUCUCUGAGGGAUUUUGAGCUCCAAAUUUUCAUGUCUUACUCAGAUCAUGGCUUCUCACUUGCUGAUAUGUUCUCAAAGUUGGGCAGAAGAGUACCAGGAUAAAUUCCACUUGAUCACUUGGAUGUCCAGUGUAUUAUUUUCUACCACAUUGUUUAACAGCAGACUUACUUCCUUCUGAGUACCAGUGUUCAUUACUCUUCCUGGCAUGUUAGUUUCCUGUUCUUGACUCCUGGCCUCUUGGCACGCAGAGUUCAAAGUGACUGUGGUAGCUAUAGACAAAGUUUAAUGAGGUGCCUUUUCCUCUUGGAACCAAAGCCUAUAGUUCCACAGAAACUAGAAAUGCAGGAAUCAGUAUACAUUUACCUAUAGAUGAUUGGUAAUGGCCACUUCUGAUCCCCUCUUCUGGUUCCUAAAGCUAUAUAUUCUACCUAUUAGGGAUAUAGCACUGUGAAAUAAAUAUUGGUUUAAGGAAUAUUCUAUAUCCUAAAGGAUAGAGUCCCAUUAUUUCAAAGCUGUUGCCUCAUCUAUGCCUUCAAAAAUCUGUUAUCUUGCUUGGUUCAGGGUUUAUGGCAUAUAAUAGGAUCAGUGGAUCCACUGGAACUGAAUGGAGCCCUCUACCAUGCCUCUUCUGAUGUAAAGUGAAUCCCUUCGUGUGAUGUGAUGUUAUAUAAAAUCCUGUUUGUGUUAGAUCACUUGCAUAUUACAUGUGAGCCCUUAGAUCAAAGUACUGGCUGAGACACUCCAGGUAAGAAAGCAAAUAUAUAACCCUAAUAUGUUUUGAUUCUAGUUAUAGUGAAUUUCUGCUUGGUCUAGUUUAGAAGGAGCCCAGUAGAAUAAAUUUGUGACUAAGUGGCUGGUCUCUUUGAGGAAUGUAGCCAUACUGGGGUUUCAGCAUUAGUUGGUUGAUGGCAGUUUGGAUAUUUGAUAAAGUUGGUUGUAAGAAUAAUCUUGGCAAGCGAGAGUCAUAUUCUUGAAUCUGUGCCUUGCUUUUAUCCCUGAUACUAUUCUUACUUUAAUCCUGAUUCCAUCAGUCCACAGAGACUGGCUGAUGAAAAUUGGCCACAGUUAUUCUGUCUCCUUGAAUAAGACAUAAAGAAGGGUCAGUGAAUUUGAUGAUAGGUCAUUAGAAAGUAUUCUCCUGAAGAAUGAAGAAAAAAAAAAGAUUAAAAAAACUGCACUCAAUGCCAAGUAAUCUAUCGUACAAAUAAAGUUGUGGAGUAAGAGACAGAGUGGGACAGAAAAGUAUUUGAAAAAUUAAUAAUUUAAAAAUGAAGAAAUCUUAUGAAUCAACUAUACUUUAAUAAAAAAAU